GAGGGUGCCUAGGCCAGGUGGCAGCUAAAUCCCAUAGGAAGCAGGAGGUGGGAGGUGGGUGCCCCUGGGCGGGGACCUUGGAGGCCGGUUUCCUGGCCCAGAGUGUGACCUGGCUGCAUUGCUUUUUUUUUCUGAGUCACAUGGUCUCACUGCAUCGCAGCUGUGUGGGUAGCCAGGUUCCUCUAGCACAGUCAGAGCCUUCUACUGUGUGGGCCUGUGCGGGGCAGACACAGGGAUGCAGGAAGAGGAGGGUGAGAGAGAAGAAGAAGAGAUAGGCUCCUCCUGCAGUGCUUCAGCCCAGCCUGAAAGCAGGAGGCCUGCGGGGGUCCCCACCUGGUCCCUUCGCAUUCCCUUUGGAUGAAGCAUAUCACUGCAGUACUCCCUGGUCCUUCCUUCCCUGGAGGGGGUCACCACUUCUCCAGCAAGGACUUGGAGGUGAAGGUCAUCUUUUCCAUCCUCUCCUUACAGAGCCUGGCAGAGGCAUGGCUUGUUGCUGACCAAGAGCACCUGGACAUGAGCCCCGAGCACCCAGAGUCACCAUCCCCAUCCUGCUCCCCAGCUCUGUGCUGUCAGUUUCUGGUGAGACUGCAAAGAUGCCCUUGAGUGGACUGUGCCCAUGCCCUACCCCUGCUCUAAGAUCUGGUCCACAGGUCAUCUCUGGUGCUGGGUAACAGGUCUGAGACCGCUCUGUUUCCGCCACUUGCCCUGUGGCUGGCCUGGCAUCCUCAAAAUCUGCUCCUGGAGGGGACAGAAAGGCAGGAAGAGAUGGGCCCAGUAUAUCAUGAGUUCCUUUCUUCACCCAAUGACCCUGUGGCUUGGCUGCCCAGAGUGUGGCCUGGGCUUUGAUGGUGAACAAUAGGGAAGCUCCUAAGCCUGUCUUGCCCCAGAGAGCCAGCUUUGAGUCCCUGCCAGGGCCUUUAUAAUCCAUGUGACAUGCUGUCACAGCAGGGCUCAGCUGACUCCUGGGAGCACUCCAGCACCCCUGGAUGCCAACCCCUGCUUGGUCCUGGGUGACUUACCUCUCCACCACAUCUGCAAGAAGGACAGAUAAAUACAACCUUCCAGGAGUGUCUUCAUCACCUAACAAUGCCCUUCCAGUGAAGAUGAGCCCCUAGCUGCAGGCCAGGGCACAGAGAUGGGGCAGGAGGCUGUGUCAGAGACUUAGGCACAAAGCUGAACCCUAAGAUGAGGGAAAGAAGACGGCACGCUGGGUGCAGAGCAGAGCGAUGUUAACUCAGAAAAUGGGCAUAGUGACAUCGGCUUUGCAGGGAUUCAGGAUCAUGCACAUAAUGUCCGGACUAGGAAGCCGUGUGCUCUCUCUUCAGGAAUAAUGAGAACACCCCAACUGACCGGACCUCCUCGUUACGCUGGACUCAGAAAAGCCAAUUUGUGAUGUCAUAAGAACAAUCCUCCAGGACAGCGCUGUCCGACAAGAAUGUAACGUGAGCCAGAAUGCCAGCCAUAGAUGUCAUUUUAGGUUCCCUAGUAGCCGUGUUAAGCAAGCAAAAGGAUUCCAUGGCAUUCAUUUUAAUCAUGUUUUGUUUAAGCCAAUGUAUCCAAAAUCCAUUCAUUUCAAAAUAUAAUUAAAUAAAAUAUGAAUGAGG